UAUCUCUGUAGAGUCUGCAUAUCAAUAAGCGGAGGAAAAGAAACUAACAAGGAUUCCCUUAGUAACGGCGAGUGAAGCGGGAAGAGCUCAAAUUUGAAAUCUUCAAGGUUUUACCUUGACGAAUUGUAGUUUAAAGAAGUGUUUUCUGUUGAAGUUUCGGUAAAAGUUCUUUGGAAUAGGACAUCAUAGAGGGUGAGAAUCCCGUAUUUGACCGUUAUUUUCAGCUGUGUGAUACACUUUCAAAGAGUCGGAUUGUUUGGGAAUGCAGUCCAAAAUGGGUGGUAAAUUUCAUCUAAAGCUAAAUAUUGGCGAGAGACCGAUAGCGAACAAGUACCGUGAGGGAAAGAUGAAAAGAACUUUGAAAAGAGAGUUAAACAGUACGUGAAAUUGUCAAAAGGGAAGCGUUUGACACCAGUGUUGUUUUCUCGAAAAUCAAUUAAAAAUAACUUUGAUUUUGUGUUGUAUUGACCUUAAAAGCUUUCUUCACUUUUUUCAUGUCUAUUUUUAAUGCACUUUUCGUUUAACAAGUCAACAUCAGUUUCUUUUGUUGUAAAAAGGUCAUUGGAAGGUGGCUUUCUUUUCGGAGAAAGUGUUUAUAGCCUUUGACUCCUGCAAUCGGAGAGACUGAGGUCUGCAGCGUAGAUCCUUCUUGGAUUAGAUUCAUUUGUGCUAAGUUAUAGCUUUUUAUAGACAACUUGUUGACUAUAUUUAGUCUUGUAGCUUACUCGCUUAUGCAAUUUUACCUACGCUUAGGAUGUUGAACGCGCACAGAGUCUC
rnacentral:rRNA from 1 species